rnacentral:rRNA from 1 species
AUGAACGCUAGCGACAGGCUUAACACAUGCAAGUCGAGGGGCAGCGGGGGUAGCAAUACCCGCCGGCGACCGGCGCACGGGUGAGUAACGCGUAUGCAACUUGCCUAUCAGAGGGGGAUAACCCGGCGAAAGUCGGACUAAUACCGCAUGAAGCAGGGGCCCCGCAUGGGGAUAUUUGCUAAAGAUUCAUCGCUGAUAGAUAGGCAUGCGUUCCAUUAGGCAGUUGGCGGGGUAACGGCCCACCAAGCCGACGAUGGAUAGGGGUUCUGAGAGGAAGGUCCCCCACAUUGGUACUGAGACACGGACCAAACUCCUACGGGAGGCAGCAGUGAGGAAUAUUGGUCAAUGGGCGUAAGCCUGAACCAGCCAAGUCGCGUGAGGGAUGAAGGUUCUAUGGAUCGUAAACCUCUUUUAUAAGGGAAUAAAGUGCGGGACGUGUCCCGUUUUGUAUGUACCUUAUGAAUAAGGAUCGGCUAACUCCGUGCCAGCAGCCGCGGUAAUACGGAGGAUCCGAGCGUUAUCCGGAUUUAUUGGGUUUAAAGGGUGCGUAGGCGGCCUUUUAAGUCAGCGGUGAAAGUCUGUGGCUCAACCAUAGAAUUGCCGUUGAAACUGGGGGGCUUGAGUAUGUUUGAGGCAGGCGGAAUGCGUGGUGUAGCGGUGAAAUGCUUAGAUAUCACGCAGAACCCCGAUUGCGAAGGCAGCCUGCCAAGCCAUGACUGACGCUGAUGCACGAAAGCGUGGGGAUCAAACAGGAUUAGAUACCCUGGUAGUCCACGCAGUAAACGAUGAUCACUAGCUGUUUGCGAUACAUUGUAAGCGGCACAGCGAAAGCGUUAAGUGAUCCACCUGGGGAGUACGCCGGCAACGGUGAAACUCAAAGGAAUUGACGGGGGCCCGCACAAGCGGAGGAACAUGUGGUUUAAUUCGAUGAUACGCGAGGAACCUUACCCGGGUUUGAACGCAUUUCGACCGCUCUGGAAACAGAGCCUCUAGCAAUAGCGAUUUGCGAGGUGCUGCAUGGUUGUCGUCAGCUCGUGCCGUGAGGUGUCGGCUUAAGUGCCAUAACGAGCGCAACCCUUGCCACUAGUUACUAACAGGUGAUGCUGAGGACUCUGGUGGGACUGCCAGCGUAAGCUGCGAGGAAGGCGGGGAUGACGUCAAAUCAGCACGGCCCUUACAUCCGGGGCGACACACGUGUUACAAUGGCGUGGACAAAGGGAAGCCACCUGGCGACAGGGAGCGAAUCCCCAAACCACGUCUCAGUUCGGAUCGGAGUCUGCAACCCGACUCCGUGAAGCUGGAUUCGCUAGUAAUCGCGCAUCAGCCAUGGCGCGGUGAAUACGUUCCCGGGCCUUGUACACACCGCCCGUCAAGCCAUGGGAGCCGGGGGUACCUGAAGUCCGUAACCGCGAGGAUCGGCCUAGGGUAAAACUGGUGACUGGGGCU